rnacentral:rRNA from 1 species
CGCGAUUGGAGCGGCCGAUGUCGGAUUAGCUAGGUUGGUAGGGUAAAGGCCUACCAAGGCGACGAUCCGUAGCGGGUCUGAGAGGGAUGAUCCGCCACACUGGGACUGAGACACGGCCCCAGACUCCUACGGGAGGCAGCAGUGGGGAAUUUUGGACAAUGGGCGAAAGCCUGAUCCAGCCAUGCCGCGUGAGUGAAGAAGGCCUUCGGGUUGUAAAGCUCUUUCGGCUGGGAAGAAAUCGCACAGGCUAAUACUCUGUGUGGAUGACGGUACCAGCACAAGAAGCACCGGCUAACCUACGUG